UUUACAAUUAAUUGGCCUUAAAUGAUAAUGUGGCUCAUCAAAAGGACACAGCUGUCAGACAGGGUACCAUGUAGAUUUAUCGACCACUUAUGAUCAAUGACUCUCAAGUGGAAAGGGUAGAGAGUUUUAAAUAUCUUGGAGUCCAUAUUACUGAAGACCUGACUUGGACCAAGCACAUUAAUUCACUGGUGAAAAAGGGUCAUCAGCAUCUUUUCCUCAGACGCCUCAAGUACUUCAAGCUACCUCAACAACUACUGAAGAACUUUUACAGAACCACCAUUGAAAGUGUUAUCACUGGGAGUAUAACAGCUUGGUAUGGAAAUAGCACUGAGCUAGACUGUAAAGCUCUGAAGAGAGUAGUGAGAUCAGCUGAACGUACCACCAACAUUCUGACCAAUUAAAUUCUCGAAGUGCAAUGGCUAAUAGACCAAUCAGAAUGUAUUUUGUGACGUAUCAUGCAGGUCUGGUAACCCAUGCAGAUCAGGUACCCACAACAGCUCUCUAUUUAGGGAGGGAAGGCAGCAGACAGCUGUCUUCCAUUUCGAACAGAGCCAAUGAUUUGUCUGCAGUAUUAAGUCAUUCAAACAUUAUUGGGAUUUUAAAAAUAGAGCCCUAUGGCUGUUGAUGAACCCCGAAGCUGCAGGAAGAUAAGAAUAGUGCGCCUACCUGAAUCCAUUGAGGGACUGCACCCUACUGCUUUCUUCACUGAGCUGCUCCAUACACUCUUGGGCGAAGAGGUCCUGACCGUCCUGCCAUCUCUGCCGGAGCUAGACCGAGCGCAGGUCCCUCACAGCCAAACCACUACCAAGGGAGAAGCCCAAGGCUGUAUCAUACCUUUCUAUUGUUAUCAGGAGACGUACAGAGUCUGUCUAUACAGUCUGUGAUGCUUGAAGGUGGAGCGGGGAGCUUCCAUGCAAGGGCAGAUGCAUUAAAAACUUCAACCCAGAGGUGCUGGAGCAAGGCAGCACAUACAGGGAAUGAGGGAAGUAAUGACAAAGCUCCCAAACAGUGAUUCAAGCCCACUCUUCUUGAUCCCUCGAGGUUCCAGAUUGCGGGUUUAAUAUGCUUGACUUUGUUUAAAUGUAAACUGGCCGUUCUAAAUGUUUCCUUGGGCAGUACCAGCCCUAUCGAUCAGCUGCUAUAUCAUACACUCUUUACAAAUCUUUAGAUGAAUCCAUUUCUGUCUUAGAGUACAAGAGGCCAUUAAAUCUGCAGACUGGCAAAUCUCUGGAACCAAAGGGACACUCUGGAAUUUUAUAAGACGUUCUCUGUCACUGUUCCCCAGUAUUAAGAGUAUUUAAUGAUGCAUACUUAAAGGGGAACUUACCACCGUCUAUAGGUGCAACUACAUUUUAGAAGCAAGACCAAAAAACACAACCUGUAAUUACAGCAGCAACUUUCCAGCACACUGAUGGGUAUCCAACAAACUGUUUUGACACUUGUUUUCAUAAUUUACAUGUCUUCAUUUAUUUUUUAUAACAUUUUGUUAUUUUCUUAAUAUUCACCACAAGUUAAACUAAAGAUGAUGGUGGCCUACAACAGCAGACCAAACAUGGCAGGUCAACAAACUACAGUAUACAUUCUACAAGUUUGGUUUUGCUAUCUGUGUUGCUUCAUUCAACCAUUCGGCAACAUGUGAUAGAAUGGUGAGUAACGAGUGCCAUGUGGCUCCUCAUACACAUUGAUAAUUUAAUGCCUACAAUCUAAUCUACAUCAAUAAUUUAAUGUCUGAUAAGAGAUUGUGAUACCUAAACACUGAACACUUUUUGGAUGGAUUACGGCCUAUUCCUCUUAAUGAGAGAUGUGGCCAGCCAGUCAGAUGAGUGAUAAUGGUUAAGUAUGGACAUGUGUUUUCUUAAUAUGGCUACACUACACACUUACAGACCUAAACUAAGCCCCCUAUUUGAUAGAAGACUGUGAUUGAAUUGAGAUUAGAUUUCCUGGUGGCAUGACUUCAGCUUGUACUGAAAAUAAAAAAGGUAUAGUGUUAGGAAAGGAACCUAUUCUAUUUUGGUGUUGUAUAGCACGAUUUCAUCAAUAAAUUGUAUGAAAUGUAUUCCCCUCUCAUGGAUGGUAGUUGAACAUGCAAAUCAAUGAAAUGGUUAUUUUUC